AGAGUUUGAUCCUGGCUCAGGAUGAACGCUGGCGGCGUGCCUAAUACAUGCAAGUCGAGCGAACGGACGAGAAGCUUGCUUCUCUGAUGUUAGCGGCGGACGGGUGAGUAACACGUGGAUAACCUACCUAUAAGACUGGGAUAACUUCGGGAAACCGGAGCUAAUACCGGAUAAUAUUUUGAACCGCAUGGUUCAAAAGUGAAAGACGGUCUUGCUGUCACUUAUAGAUGGAUCCGCGCUGCAUUAGCUAGUUGGUAAGGUAACGGCUUACCAAGGCAACGAUGCAUAGCCGACCUGAGAGGGUGAUCGGCCACACUGGAACUGAGACACGGUCCAGACUCCUACGGGAGGCAGCAGUAGGGAAUCUUCCGCAAUGGGCGAAAGCCUGACGGAGCAACGCCGCGUGAGUGAUGAAGGUCUUCGGAUCGUAAAACUCUGUUAUUAGGGAAGAACAUAUGUGUAAGUAACUGUGCACAUCUUGACGGUACCUAAUCAGAAAGCCACGGCUAACUACGUGCCAGCAGCCGCGGUAAUACGUAGGUGGCAAGCGUUAUCCGGAAUUAUUGGGCGUAAAGCGCGCGUAGGCGGUUUUUUAAGUCUGAUGUGAAAGCCCACGGCUCAACCGUGGAGGGUCAUUGGAAACUGGAAAACUUGAGUGCAGAAGAGGAAAGUGGAAUUCCAUGUGUAGCGGUGAAAUGCGCAGAGAUAUGGAGGAACACCAGUGGCGAAGGCGACUUUCUGGUCUGUAACUGACGCUGAUGUGCGAAAGCGUGGGGAUCAAACAGGAUUAGAUACCCUGGUAGUCCACGCCGUAAACGAUGAGUGCUAAGUGUUAGGGGGUUUCCGCCCCUUAGUGCUGCAGCUAACGCAUUAAGCACUCCGCCUGGGGAGUACGACCGCAAGGUUGAAACUCAAAGGAAUUGACGGGGACCCGCACAAGCGGUGGAGCAUGUGGUUUAAUUCGAAGCAACGCGAAGAACCUUACCAAAUCUUGACAUCCUUUGACAACUCUAGAGAUAGAGCUUUCC
rnacentral:rRNA from 1 species